GAUGAACGCUGGCGGCGUGCCUAAUACAUGCAAGUCGAGCGAACGGACGAGAAGCUUGCUUCUCUGAUGUUAGCGGCGGACGGGUGAGUAACACGUGGAUAACCUACCUAUAAGACUGGGAUAACUUCGGGAAACCGGAGCUAAUACCGGAUAAUAUUUUGAACCGCAUGGUUCAAAAGUGAAAGACGGUCUUGCUGUCACUUAUAGAUGGAUCCGCGCUGCAUUAGCUAGUUGGUAAGGUAACGGCUUACCAAGGCAACGAUGCAUAGCCGACCUGAGAGGGUGAUCGGCCACACUGGAACUGAGACACGGUCCAGACUCCUACGGGAGGCAGCAGUAGGGAAUCUUCCGCAAUGGGCGAAAGCCUGACGGAGCAACGCCGCGUGAGUGAUGAAGGUCUUCGGAUCGUAAGACUCUGUUAUUAGGGAAGAACAUAUGUGUAAGUAACUGUGCACAUCUUGACGGUACCUAAUCAGAAAGCCACGGCUAACUACGUG
rnacentral:rRNA from 1 species